rnacentral:rRNA from 1 species
AGCAGUAGCCGCGGUAAAACGGAGGGUGCAAGCGUUAAUCGGAAUUACUGGGCGUAAAGCGCACGCAGGCGGUCUGUCAAGUCAGAUGUGAAAUCCCCGGGCUUAACCUGGGAACUGCAUUUGAAACUGGCAGGCUAGAGUCUUGUAGAGGGGGGUAGAAUUCCAGGUGUAGCGGUGAAAUGCGUAGAGAUCUGGAGGAAUACCGGUGGCGAAGGCGGCCCCCUGGACAAAGACUGACGCUCAGGUGCGAAAGCGUGGGGAGCAAACAGGAUUAGAUACCCCAGUAGUCCCUGUCUCUUAUAC